rnacentral:rRNA from 1 species
UUAAUCCAACAUCGAGGUUGUAAUAAAUUCUAUAAAUUUGAUCUUUCAAGAAAUUUUACGCUGUUAUCCAUUAGGUAAUUUAAUUUUAUUUCAAACGUUGGAUUAUAAUUAUAUUCAGUAAUUUAGUGGUAACUGAAAACAAAAGAUGUUAGUUUUGUGGUCUCCCCAACCAAACACUUUUCACCCCGCAACGGAGACUACUAGUGUGAAACUGUAAAGGGUUUUCUUGUCUUUUAAAUUUAACAUUUAAGAUUUUUAACUUAAAUAUUAAAUUUUACUUUUUAAUAAUUAAAAAGGUAACAUUUCAUGGUAUCUUUCAUUGUAUUUUUUAAUUAAAAAACAAUUUAUUUUGGCACCUUAGUACAGUUAAGUUACUGCAGCUA